rnacentral:rRNA from 1 species
AUUGAACGCUGGCGGCAUGCCUUACACAUGCAAGUCGAACGGCAGCACGGGAGCAAUCCUGGUGGCGAGUGGCGAACGGGUGAGUAAUAUAUCGGAACGUGCCCAGUCGUGGGGGAUAACGUAGCGAAGGUUACGCUAAUACCGCAUACGAUCUAUGGAUGAAAGCGGGGGAUCGCAAGACCUCGCGCGAUUGGAGCGGCCGAUAUCAGAUUAGGUAGUUGGUGGGGUAAAGGCUCACCAAGCCGACGAUCUGUAGCUGGUCUGAGAGGACGACCAGCCACACUGGGACUGAGACACGGCCCAGACUCCUACGGGAGGCAGCAGUGGGGAAUUUUGGACAAUGGGCGCAAGCCUGAUCCAGCAAUGCCGCGUGCAGGAAGAAGGCCUUCGGGUUGUAAACUGCUUUUGUACGGAACGAAACGGCGAGCUCUAAUACAGUUUGCUAAUGACGGUACCGUAAGAAUAAGCACCGGCUAACUACGUG